UGACUUCACUGAUGUCCUUCAGACUCCUCUUCGUUAACAUGCUACCAGUCCACGGCCUUGGGAAGGGUGAUGUUGCGGUUCCUGAUGAACAUGAAAACUGGCUCCAGCUUUGGAAGCACUGCAGUAGUCUAAGGAAGAAUUAAUGCAGGUACCUGAUUUACCCAGUGCUGCAAUUUCAAGGAGUCCAAGAUAGAAAUCCAGGACUUUGUUUUGGGGUUGAUGAUGAUGGUGGAGAGUUCGUAAAACAACCACUCAGCCUUUCUGAUCUACUAAAAAU